UACGAAGGGGGCUAACGUUACUCGGAUUGACUGGGCGUAAAGGGCGCGUAGGCGGUUUGUACAGUCAGACGUGAAAUUCCUGGGCUCAACCUGGGGGCUGCGUUUGAUACGUGCGGACUUGAGUUCGGAAGAGGGUCGUGGAAUUCCCAGUGUAGAGGUGAAAUUCGUAGAUAUUGGGAAGAACACCGGUGGCGAAGGCGGCGACCUGGUCCGAUACUGACGCUGAGGCGCGAAAGCGUGGGGAGCAAACAGG
rnacentral:rRNA from 1 species